GCUUUCAGUAAUGGUGGAGAGAAAAAUAGCUUUGUCUAUGUUCAGUGUUCUGACCUGUGAACAUCUGUCUGAAUGAUUAGUAGCUUAACGCU
rnacentral:snoRNA from 1 species